rnacentral:rRNA from 1 species
AACGAACGCUGGCGGCAGGCUUAACACAUGCAAGUCGAGCGCCCCGCAAGGGGAGCGGCAGACGGGUGAGUAACGCGUGGGAACAUACCCUUUCCUGCGGAAUAGCUCCGGGAAACUGGAAUUAAUUCCGCAUACGCCCUACGGGGGAAAGAUUUAUCGGGGAAGGAUUGGCCCGCGUUGGAUGAGCUAGUUGGUGGGGUAAAGGCCUACCAAGGCGACGAUCCAUAGCUGGUCUGAGAGGAUGAUCAGCCACAUUGGGACUGAGACACGGCCCAAACUCCUACGGGAGGCAGCAGUGAGGAAUAUUGGACAAUGGGCGCAAGCCUGAUCCAGCCAUGCCGCGUGAGUGAUGAAGGCCUUAGGGUUGUAAAGCUCUUUCACCGGAGAAGAUAAUGACGGUAUCCGGAGAAGAAGCCCCGGCUAACUUCGUGCCAGCCGCCGCCGUAACAC